UCAGCUAACAACAUAGGUUAAUAACACCUCCAUCUCAAGGUCCUUUGGAUGAUGAAUGAGACACUAUAAUAUGAAAGGAUAUUUAUAAG